rnacentral:lncRNA from 13 species
UGCUGUUCUUGAUUAUCUCUAUCCCAGUGCUGUUCUUGAUUAUUUCUAUCCCAGUGCUGUUCUACCUUCCUUUUCAAUGUGUUAACCGAGACAGUAGACAGUGGAAUUGUUUUAAGGCAAAGAUCACUUAGAGGUUGCAUUCCAAGUGACGCCCUAUACCUUGUAGACUCCACUACUGGUGACAGUCAAGGCCCAGAGGACUCUGAAUGAGCGCACCGUAAAACUUUAGUAUAAGGGUAGGUAAUAAACCAUUUAUAAACCAUUAAUAAACUAUUAAUAAACCAUUAAUAAACUAGUAAUAAACUAUUAAUAAACAAUUUAUAAACCAUUUAUAAACCGUUUUCUCGCCAUGUAUUAAUCAUGACUCCCACAUGUGUAAAUGUCAAAUCAAAUUGUAUUUGUCACAUACACACGGUUAGGAGAUGUUAAUGCGAGUGUAGCGAAAUGCUUGUGCUUCUAGUUCCGACCACGCAGUAAUAUCGAACAAGAAAUCUAACCUAACAAUUUCACACAACAACCACCUUAUACACACACAAGUGUAAAGGAAUGAAUAAGAAUAUGUACAUAAAAAUAUAUAAAUGAAUGUCAGGAAGCUAGUUAUUCAGACAUGUGUGUAUAUAGUUCCUUAAAAAUCCUGUGUUGUGCGUUGGUUCUAUCGCCAGGUACUGCUGGAAUGUCUACCAACAGCAUGUCCAACAUGUUGUGACAAAUUACACCGCUCACUCCAUGUUAUAUCGUAGUUAUUACAUACAUACAUGCUUUCACUUUAUAUUAGGGGCUGCAAAAAGACCUUACUGAUGAUUAGUAAAUGGUUAAUUAAUGAUUAAUACAUGGUGAACACACACUUUAUAAAUGCCUUAUAAAUUAUUUAUUACAGUCCCUUAAAAUGAAGCGUUACCGAGUGCACACUUCAGGAGAAAGGAGAUAUUAUUUGAAAUGCACGCCUAGUUUCCCACAAUGUGUACUGCACCUCUACUAUGGGCUCCCAGUUCACUGCCCCCUGGUGGUUGGGUGGGGAAUAUUUGCUUCUCCACUAAUGCAAAAUUAUGGUAACGUUCCCAAAAUGUCCAGGUUUUCUAGAACUCCUGAUUUUAAAAAAAGAUUCCCAGAUUUCCUGCUUAUUCCAGGAAUUCUUCUAAUUUGUAUUUCUGGAAAAACCUGGACAAUUUGGUAAAGUUACCCGACACCGUCCUACCUAACCUUUUUCUGUUCUAACUGCCUCAAACUAAUAACUUGAGUUGGAUCGAGAUUAAAAACAAACAACUCUUUCUUCCUCCCUUGUUUCUGUUGCAUGACAACCUCUAGUUGAGGAUGGAUUGUUCUGUUUUGAACCGAAAUCGAUAACAAAUAUACCUUCUGUGUUUCAAACAUGUGCGUGUCUGGGUUUUUCUUUUGGUUGUAUUAAAACAAGUCAUUUUAAGGAAUAUUAUGAUUCUGGUUAAGAGUUUAUUAGGAGGAAAACGUGCAGAUGAUGAAAGAUGUCAAAUGUAUAGAACACAUUCAGUGUUCCGUAUGACAUUCAGUGUUCCGUAUGACAUUCAGUGUUCCGUAUGACAUUCAGUGUUCCGUAUGACAUUCAGUGUUCCGUAUGACAUUCAGUGUUCCGUAUGACUGAAAAUAAUUUUAGUUCUACUCAAUGCAAAUCUCUCUGUUUUCUCUGACGUGUUGGACAAAGACAGAGCUCACUGUUAAUACCACUCAGGGAGGUGGAGAAAGAUACUGCUGUGUGUGUGGUAACAUGUCAUUCCUUUCAGGAAUCUUCAGUAAUUUAGAUAAUUGGUAAAUUAGAUUUGAAUAAUUAAAAAAUAAAAUGUUAUUCAUAUAUACUAUUAAUUCAUUUUUGCUGUGUCUAUAUUGUCCGUAAGUUUCUAGUACAUGGACCAUAUGGUUAAAAAUAAAUAGCCUAAUUAAUGAUAAAAGCAUCUAAUCAACAAUGGAAUUAUUUUCAAUGAACUCUGCAACUCUUCCAACUACUGAUUUCUGUCACAACUGCCACCAGUUUGAUGCCAAAACAUACAUACAUAGACAUACUGUACAUACAUACAUACAUAUACACGCACAAUGUAUAUAUAUAUACACAGAUUGAUAAAGUAAUACAAAUAUAUAAUGACAAAGUUAACAGGUUCUGACAUUUUAGCAACAUUUAUUUUUAAAAUCUGAAAUAUCACAUUUACCUAAGUAUUCAGACCCUUUACUCGGUACUUUGUUGAAGCACCUUUGGCAGCGAUUACAGCCUCAAGUCUUCUUGGGUAUGAUGCUACAAGCUUGGCACACCUGUAUUUGGGGAGUUUCUCCCAUUCUUCUCUGCAGAAGCUCUCUCAAGCUCUGUCAGGUUGGAUGGGGAACGUUGCUGCACAGCAAUUUUCAGGUCUCUUCAGAGAUGUUUGAUCAGGUUCAAGUCCAGGCUCUGACAGGACCACUCAAAGCCUAGUGGUUAGAGCGUUGGACUUGUAACCGAAAGGUUGCAUGAUCGAAUCCCUGAGCUGACAAGGUAAAAAUCUGUUGUUCUGCCCCUGAACAAGGCAGUUUAACCCACUGUUUCUAGACCAGUUAUCCCACUGUUCCUAGGCUGUCAUUUGAAAAUAAGAAUUUGUUCUUUAACUGACUUACUUGGUUAAAUAGAGAUAAAAUAUAAAUAAAUAAAAAAGACAUUCAGAGACUUGUCCCGAAGCCACUCCUGCAUUAUCUUGGCUGUGUGCUUAGGGUCGUUGCUCAGCAACUGUCUCUUAGGGCCGUGGUCCUGUUGGAAGGUUGGAACCUUCACCCCAGAGCAGGUUUUCAUCAAUGAUCUCUAUGUAUUUUGCUCCGUUCAUCUUUCCUUCGAUCCUGACUAGUCUCCCAGUCCCUUCCGCUGAAAAACAGGGAUGGUGCCAGCUUUCCUCCAGAAGUGACUCUUUGCAUUCAGGCCAAAGAAUUCAUUCUUAGUUUCAUCAGACCAGAGAAUCUUGUUUCUCAUGGUCUGAGAGUUGUUAGGUCCCUUUUGGCAAACUCCAAGCGGGCUGUUAUGUGCCUUUAACUGAGGAGUGGCUUCAGUCUGGCAACUCUACCAUAAAGGCCUGAUUGGUGGAGUGCUGCAGAGAUGGUUGUCCUCCUGGAAGGUUCUCCCAUCUCCACAAAGGAACUCAGGAGCUCUGUCAGAGUGACCAUCAGGUUCUUGGUCACCUUCCUGACCAAAACCCUUCUCCCCAAUUGCUCAGUUGGUCCAGGCAGCCAGCUCUAGGAAGAGUCUUGGUGGUUCCAAACUUCUUCCAUUUAAGAAUGAUGGAGGCCACUGUGUUCUCGGGGACCUUCAAUGCUGCAGAAGUGUUUUGGUACCCUUCCCCAGAUCUGUGCCUCGACACAAUCCUGUCUCAGAGCUCUACGGACAAUUCCUUCGACCUCAUGACUUGGUCUUUGCUCUGACAUGCGCUGUCAACUGUGGAACCUUAUAUAGACAGGUGUGUGCUUUUCCAAAUCAUGUCCAAUCAAUUGAAUUUACCACAGGUGGACUUCAGUCAAGUUGUAGAAACAUGUCAAGGAUGAUCAAUGGAAACAGGAUGCACCUGAGCUCAAUUUUGAGCCUCAUAGCAAAGUGUUUGAAUACUUAUGUAAAUAAUGUAUUUACAUUUUUUUUAUAUCUAAAUUUGCAAAAAUGUCUCAAAACCUGUUUUCACUUUUUUUUGUGUUGAAUACCUCCGAAUGCACUGUGUAUAUAUAUAUAUAUAGAGAGAGAGAGAGAGAACUGAAGUAAUGGUGACUUGACCCCCCACCACACACACACAAUGUUGACAUUUUCAUAAACCCUAUCAGUCCUGAGACCUCAGCAAAAAUCUACUUUUCAUUUCCAUCUGACUUCCAUUGAUCGGCAUGUCCAGCCCUGUAUAUUUAUAAUUAGCCCUCACAACGAGGUGUUUUAACAGACACACACACACACACACACAAGCACGGAUACAACGAGGUGUUUUAACAGACACACACAAGCACGGAUACAACGAGGUGUUUUAACAGACACACACACACACACACACAAGCACGGAUACAACGAGGUGUUUUAACAGACAC